rnacentral:rRNA from 1 species
GACGAACGCUGGCGGCGUGCUUAACACGUGCAAGUCGAACGGAAAGGCCCUGCUUUUGUGGGGUGCUCGAGUGGCGAACGGGCGAGUAACACGUGAGUAACCUGCCCUUGACUUUGGGAUAACUUCAGGAAACUGGGGCUAAUACCGGAUAGGAGCUCCUGCUGCAUGGUGGGGGUUGGAAAGUUUCGGCGGUUGGGGAUGGACUCGCGGCUUAUCAGCUUGUUGGUGGGGUAGUGGCUUACCAAGGCUUUGACGGGUAGCCGGCCUGAGAGGGUGACCGGCCACAGUGGGAUUGAGGAACGGCCCAUGCUCCCACGGGAGGCAGGGGGGGGGAAUUGUGCAAAAUGGGCGGAAGCCUGGUGGAGCCACGCCGCGUGGGGGAGGACGGCCUUCGGGGUGUAAACCGCUUUCGCCUGUAACGAAGCGGGGUGGGCGGGAAUGGGUAAAGGAACCCCGGCGAACUACUG